CAACAAGAAGAUAUGAUAUAAACUCUCAAAACAUAAUGCAGACACUCAUAUACAAAUACUUAACGAAAGUACAAUAAUCUGGCUGCAGGAUGCGGAUAUUUAUGGGCCUUCAAUUCCUUUGAUGAUGCAACUCAAGGGAAAGCCGGAACUGAGCAACAAUAGGAAGAUGAUUCCAAUUGAAAGCUAUGGUGUUAUGCGUAUAUCGAUUUUGGAUCUCUUGCAGAUGAAAGGGAAGCAAUUGUGUGGAGAGGGCCUAUGGUCACGAAAGCCCUUGAACAGUUGACGAGGGGAGUUGAUUGUGGGGUCCUAGAUGUUCUUGUGAUAGAUAUGCUUCCUGGUACCGGUGAUGCCAUGAGGAUGAAGCUAUUGCAUCAUGUUUAAUUUCAUAUCAAAAACACCCAAAAAAAUUGUGCACCCAUGAAGAGAAAAUCAAAUAUAUCCAUCAUUCAGCUUGUAAGUCAAUAUCCAUAACGCUAAAUGACUGAUGGUGUAACCACUAACCAGAACGACGACCCUCCACUUUCACGACCAUUAAGAUUCUAAAUGUUGAGUCUGGGAAUUGAGGAUUUUCAACGCUGGGUGG